AAGCCAUGGGCGGACUGCUGUUCAGCCUCUGGUUGGCGGCUCUCUGCGCAGUUGGAUGUAGUAAAUGGCUUUUGGGUGGCUUCCUAAAGGGUGUUUUAGCCUUAUGUAGUAGUCAUUGGACUGAAUGGACGAGCAGCAGCGUCCGCGGUGGUUCUUCCAUGCUCCGCACGUGGUAUGGCGAUAAGGCCACUGUAAUGGAGGGAAAAGAACCUGACUUUAACCAGUGAGCUCGGUGCUCUCCCCACAGACUGUAGCAUGAGUCUCCUCGUUGAGUCUGCCAAGUCGAAGACUGGUUGUCUAAGGAACUCCUGGAGAACCAAGUUUCCAGAUGGAUGAAUAAGGAUCACACUAAAGAUGGAUGCAGCGGCCACCUCCAGGCUUCUCAGAGCACUGAAGGAACACAGUUUCAAAACAGGCUGAGUACUGUAUUCCUACCAUGAGUCUGCAGCCAUGAGCUGAUGGUGUAUAGGGAGAGUAGAUGGAGACUGCUCUUCUAGCUUGUCCACACAUUGACAGAAAGGAGAUUGGGUGACCGUUCCACAGCUGUCAGACUGUGGCAGCCCAGGCUGGAUAACAUUCAGACACAAAGAAGGGACCAGGUGCUUCAAUUUGGGAGUUGGGACUGCUACAAGCUUCAAAGAUGGUCAAGUCAUCCAGGAAAUGGAAGCAUUCAUAGCUGUCAAUACAUUCCCAUCAUCUCUUCUCCCCCCCAAUAAAUAAAAGGUUGACAACA